rnacentral:rRNA from 1 species
AUUGAACGCUGGCGGCAGGCCUAACACAUGCGAGUCGAACGGUAACAGGAAACAGCUUGCUGUUUCGCUGACGAGUGGCGGACGGGUGAGUAAUGUCUGGGAAACUGCCUGAUGGAGGGGGAUAACUACUGGAAACGGUAGCUAAUACCGCAUAACGUCGCAAGACCAAAGAGGGGGACCUUCGGGCCUCUUGCCAUCGGCUGUGCCCAGAUGGGAUUAGCUAGUAGGUGGGGUAACGGCUCACCUAGGCGACGAUCCCUAGCUGGUCUGAGAGGAUGACCAGCCACACUGGAACUGAGACACGGUCCAGACUCCUACGGGAGGCAGCAGUGGGGAAUAUUGCACAAUGGGCGCAAGCCUGAUGCAGCCAUGCCGCGUGUAUGAAGAAGGCCUUCGGGUUGUAAAGUACUUUCAGCGGGGAGGAAGGGAGUAAAGUUAAUACCUUUACUCAUUGACGUUACCCGCAGAAGAAGCACCGGCUAACUCCGUG